CGGAACCCCAGCAGAAACCCCAACAGAAAUUAUUUUUGGCAUUCCUAACUCACCAAAACAGGUUCUCCUGUCUGAUGCAGCAGCAGGACGAGGAGGGAAGAGGAGGAAGAGAAGAAGGAGGAGGAAGAGAAAAAGGAGGAGGAAGAGGAGGCGCGUUGCUCCGACUCUUUUCCAGAGGGCAGUUUUCCAUUAUUCCAUUUUAGCUUUUCCAGGUUAUUUUCCAGACAGAGUUACAGAGGUCAGAUCCUGAGGGCAGAAAUGUGACAUGAAAGACCCGGACAGGUCGAGUGAAUCUUCCUCCUCCCUCGCUGCCAAACCUCUGCAUCCUUUUCUUUCUCUCACUUACAGGCAACGACGCCACACACACAUUCACAUAACUGCACAUGCAGACUGGGUGCCACUCCUCCUGCUUAGAGAGAGGAGAGGAAAACACAUUUGUCAUGUCACUAAAUCAGCAUUUACGAUGUAAAACUUGUCACAACCAGGCCUGUCAAAAUAACAAAUUUACGGAGCGAUAAAUUGACCCAGAAGUUAUUGCGAUAAACGAUAAUAUUGAUGUUUUGAGAAUAUUUUUAAGUAAUAUAUUGAUAAUUGCUUAAGAAUGCAAGUUUUCCCUCUCGAAGAGCAAUAAGCUUAACGAUGGAACUGGAGGAUAUUUUAAAUACCUAAAAUAAAAUAUGACAACCCAAAACUGAAAUACUGAAAUAAAAACCUACGGAAGCUGAGAGCUGACAUAUUUUAAAUCUACGUUUUCCCGAUGGUUUUCUCAACAUAAGGUAAUCUCGAGAACACAAGAUGAUUGGUUUGUGAGUUAAUUCAAUUCAAAUUAAAUUAAAAAAACUUUAUUGAUACCAAAUAGAAACAAAAUUUUUGUUGUAACUCAUAUUAAGUCAAAUUCUUCACAACGAAUCUGACUUUUUCCAAAAAGUCAUCGGCCAAAUAAACUAGUUUUGUUUCCUGAGAGCAAAAUGUCUCUUCAGGUUGAAAGGUUGAACACUCCUGCCACAGUUUCUUGUCUCUGUAUAAAUAACAUAAAAUCCCAACACUGAAGAAUAUACAGCAGCAACAAUGUAAUAAAAUGUUAAAAGUUUGAAGUGUAUGAAUUCUUCUGAUGAGAAAAACAUAAAGAAACAAAAGUUUGCGUGUCCAAGGUGAGCCAGCAAACCAUGUUUAAUUUAGGUUAAAGUCGACCAGAUUCUGUUUAUUAAAUUUUGAUCAGCCAACCUGUCCUGUUGGCAGGUUGUUUUCUAGCUGGCAUUACGCAACAGGAAAAGGCUGAAAAUCUUCCCGCCUCUGGCUGGGGGCUGGCAGCUUUUUCCAGGCCAACGGCUCUCAACAGGAGGAAACGUAGAAACAAAAACUCGUAUUGCUGGAUACAGAUGACGGCCGAUCCAGAGGACUGGGCGGCAGCAGCAGUUCAG